rnacentral:rRNA from 1 species
UACGGAGGGUGCAAGCGUUAUCCGGAUUCAUUGGGUUUAAAGGGUGCGUAGGUGGAUUAGUAAGUCAGUGGUGAAAUCUCCGGGCUUAACCCGGAAACUGCCAUUGAUACUAUUAGUCUUGAAUACCGUGGAGGUCAGCGGAAUAUGUCAUGUAGCGGUGAAAUGCUUAGAUAUGACAUAGAACACCAAUUGCGAAGGCAGCUGGCUACACGAGCAUUGACACUCAGGCACGAAAGCGUGGGGAUCAAACAGG